AUUGAACGCUGGCGGAAUGCUUUACACAUGCAAGUCGAGCGGCAGCACGGGGGCAACCCUGGUGGCGAGCGGCGAACGGGUGAGUAAUACAUCGGAACAUGCCCAGUCGUGGGGGAUAACACUUCGAAAGAAGUGCUAAUACCGCAUACGUCCUGAGGGGGAAAGCGGGGGAUCGCAAGACCUCGCGCGAUUGGAGUGGCCGAUGUCAGAUUAGCUAGUUGGUGGGGUAAAGGCCUACCAAGGCAACGAUCUGUAGCUGGUCUGAGAGGAUGAUCAGCCACACUGGGACUGAGACACGGCCCAGACUCCUACGGGAGGCAGCAGUGGGGAAUUUUGGACAAUGGGGGCAACCCUGAUCCAGCCAUUCCGCGUGAGUGAAGAAGGCCUUCGGGUUGUAAAGCUCUUUCGGCAGGAACGAAACGGUGAGCUCUAACAUAGCUUGCUAAUGACGGUACCUGAAGAAGAAGCACCGGCUAACAACGUG
rnacentral:rRNA from 1 species